UACGGGGGGGGCAAGCGUUGUUCGGAAUUACUGGGCGUAAAGGGCUCGUAGGCGGCCAACUAAGUCAGACGUGAAAUCCCUCGGCUUAACCGGGGAACUGCGUCUGAUACUGGAUGGCUGGAGGUUGGGAGAGGGAUGCGGAAUUCCAGGUGUAGCGGUGAAAUGCGUAGAUAUCGGGAGGAACACCAGUGGCGAAGGCGGCUUCCUGGCCUGUUCUUGACGCUGAGGCGCGAAAGCUAGGGGAGCAAACAGG
rnacentral:rRNA from 1 species